GAGACAGAGCUCCAAAAGACAGUGCAAGUAGCCUGAUAUUAGUGAUGGAAAUAUUUUUAUGCAAAGAAAAUAUAUCAAAAAUAGUACCAAUACACUGGAAGAGCUUCCUUCUUCUGGAGACUGGACAGAGCACCUAGACUGUGAGCUGGAACACUUCAUAACAGAUGAAGCUGCUACAACUUGCCUUCCUUUCUCCCAGAGCUGCGCAGCCUCUGCUGCCAGAAGCGCUCUUCCAUUGUAGCGCAUGCAGCAGGUAAGCGUCUGCCAAAUGACAAAACAGAAACCUUCUAACAAGUAGCUGAAGGUAAGGUGGAGAUUCCAAAUAGAGACAAAUCUAUGUCCCUCAGGAGAUCUGGAGCAAACCGAUCAGUAUAAAAAGU
rnacentral:lncRNA from 1 species